rnacentral:rRNA from 1 species
UACAGAGAGUGCAAACGUUGUUCGGAAUUACUGGGCGUAAAGCGCACGUAGGCGGCUUUGUAAGUUAGAGGUGAAAGCCCAGGGCUCAACCCUGGAAUUGCCUUUAAGACUGCAUCGCUUGAACAUCGGAGAGGUAAGUGGAAUUCCGAGUGUAGAGGUGAAAUUCGUAGAUAUUCGGAAGAACACCAGUGGCGAAGGCGACUUACUGGACGAUUGUUGACGCUGAGGUGCGAAAGCGUGGGGAGCAAACAGG